rnacentral:rRNA from 1 species
AACGAACGCUGGCGGCAGGCCUAACACAUGCAAGUCGAACGCUGUAGCAAUACAGAGUGGCAGACGGGUGAGUAACACGUGGGAACGUACCUUUCGGUUCGGAAUAACUCAGGGAAACUUGAGCUAAUACCGGAUACGUGCGAGAGCAGAAAGAUUUAUCGCCGAAAGAUCGGCCCGCGUCCGAUUAGCUUGUUGGUGAGGUAAAGGCUCACCAAGGCGACGAUCGGUAGCUGGUCUGAGAGGAUGAUCAGCCACACUGGGACUGAGACACGGCCCAGACUCCUACGGGAGGCAGCAGUGGGGAAUAUUGGACAAUGGGCGAAAGCCUGAUCCAGCCAUGCCGCGUGAGUGAUGAAGGCCCUAGGGUUGUAAAGCUCUCUCGCCAGGGACGAUAAUGACGGUACCUGGAUAAGAAGCCCCGGCUAACUUCGUGCCAGCAGCCGCGGUAAU